rnacentral:rRNA from 2 species
GAACGUUGACCUCGAAUCAGGUAGGACUACCCGCUGAACUUAA